GUGCUUACAUUGGCAGCACACAUAUUAAAAUUGAAACAAUACAGAGAAGACUAACAUGACCCCUGCACAAGGAUGACACUCAAAUUCUUGAAGUGUCCCAUAUUUUC